GAGAGAGGAAAGAGAGAGAGACGGGGUGGGGAGAAGCAGAGAGAAAGAGAGAAGCAGAGAGAGAGAGGGAGAAGGCAGAUAGAGAGAGAGAGAGAGAGCAAGAAGGAGAGAGAAAGAGAUGGAGAGAGAGAGAUGGAGGAAAGAGAGAGACAAUGACAGCCUCGGGCUAAGCCAGGAUAGAGGAUGGCAGGCCAGGGCUAGAAAGCUUCCUCUACUCCCUGCUCCCUGCUGCCACAGUAACAAAACAAACCAACAAACCAGAAGAGAAUAUCAACUUCAACACACCACACUGACCUGAGUCCUAGGACCAUGCCUCAGGACUACCUGGUAUGAUGACUCCUUGCUGUCCCCAGUCCACCUGGCCGUGCUGCUGCUCCAGUUUCAACUGUUCUGCCUGCGGCUAUGGAACCCUGACCUGUUCACCGGACGUGCUUGUUGCACCCUCGACAACUACUAUGAUUAUUAUUAUUUGACCAUGCUGGUCAUUUAUGCACAUUUUAACAUUUUAACAUCUUGACCAUGUUCUGUUAUAAUAUCCACCCUGCACAGCCAGAAGAGGACUGGCCACCCCUCAUAGCCUGGUUCCUCUCUAGGUUUCUUCCUAGGUUUUUGGCCUUUCUAGGGAGUUUUUCCUAGGGAGUUUUUCCUAGCCACCGUGCUUCUUUCACAUGCUUUGCUUGCUGUUUGGGGUUUUAGGCUGGGUUUCUGCACAGCACUUUGAGAUAUCAGCUGAUGUACGAAGGGCUAUAUAAAAAUAAAUUUGAUUGAUUGAUUGAAUAAAUUAAUAAAACCAAAAGCUUACCUUGAAUAGUUUCAGUAUUGGAUAGCCAUAAACAGCUAGCUAACAUAGCAUCCGUAUCUGUUGGAGCUGGGUGUUUGAGUAGGCUAAACUAACUAGCUGCAUUCACUAUCUAAGUCAAUGAAGGUAGACGUUUAAAAAAACUACAUGAAAUAUAGCUAGCUCCAUCUCUCUCUCUCUCUCUCUCUUGCUCAGUCUCUUGCUUCUCCUUAAUUUUGGAAGAAAUUCAUUUGUUCUACAAGUUAACAUUGGGUUAGAGUAUCGCCGUCCUCCACAAUUCAUUUUCCGCCGGUCAAAUACUGCCUUAGGCUUAAUGUUUUCAGUGUUCGUAAUGUGCAUUCCUAGUUGUGCUGGGAAAAAGUUGAAAUACAGCAUUGAAAUUCAAGCUCUAGUCAUGUGCCAUAAAACAUCCCAAAAAAUGUGGAGGAGAAACAAACAACGUUUGAAAAGAGAGGGAGGACAAAAGAAGAAAAGAAGUGGGGAAAAAAGCAAAGAGAAAAACAGAAAAUACUCCAGUCCUUCAGUCUGUGUUUAAAAAAAAACAGAGAAUACUCCAGUCCUUCUGUUUGUGUUUAAUUAUUGCUGAUUAAAGUUACAUUUUCUAGGUCUUUCAUCUUCUCACAUCACAGGCAGGGGAUUAGCUAGCGUGACUUCCCUGUCCGACGUCCCGGGCUGUGUUCCAAAUGGCAUCUUAUUCUGACCAAUAGCAGUGCACUACACAGAGAAUAGGGUGCCAUUUGGGAUGCAGUCCUAGUGUAUCAAAUUCUCCCUGUAAUCUUUCAGAAGCCCCUACCUCUGACCUUCUCUGUGCGUGUGUGUGUGCGUGUGCGUGUGUGUGUGUGUGUG
rnacentral:lncRNA from 1 species